UAGGGAAUAUUGCAAAUGGGCGAAAGCCUGAUGUAGCAACGCCGCGUGUGCGAUGAAGGUCUUCGGAUUGUAAAGCACUUUUUGGAGGGAUGAGGAAGGACAGUACCUCCAGAAUAAGCACCGGCUAACUACGUGCCAGCAGCCGCGGUAAUACGUAGGGUGCAAACGUUAUCCGGAUUUAUUGGGCGUAAAGAGCUCGUAGGUGGCUUUGUAAGUUGGAUAUUAAAUAUUCCGGCUCAACUGGAAAAAUGUAUCCAAAACUGCAAGGCUUGAGGUAUGUAGGGGAGGAUGGAACUUAUAGUGUAGCAGUGAAAUGCGUAGAUAUUAUAAGGAACGCCAAUGGUGAAGACAGUCCUCUGGACAUUACCUGACACUGAGGAGCGAAAGCGUGGGGAGCGAACGG
rnacentral:rRNA from 1 species